AGAGUUUGAUCCUGGCUCAGGAUGAACGCUGGCGGCGUGCCUAACACAUGCAAGUUGAGCGAUUUACUUCGGUAAAGAGCGGCGGACGGGUGAGUAACGCGUGGGUAACCUACCCUGUACACACGGAUAACAUACCGAAAGGUAUGCUAAUACGGGAUAAUAUAUUUGAGAGGCAUCUCUUGAAUAUCAAAGGUGAGCCAGUACAGGAUGGACCCGCGUCUGAUUAGCUAGUUGGUAAGGUAACGGCUUACCAAGGCGACGAUCAGUAGCCGACCUGAGAGGGUGAUCGGCCACAUUGGAACUGAGACACGGUCCAAACUCCUACGGGAGGCAGCAGUGGGGAAUAUUGCACAAUGGGCGAAAGCCUGAUGCAGCAACGCCGCGUGAGUGAUGAAGGCCUUCGGGUCGUAAAACUCUGUCCUCAAGGAAGAUAAUGACGGUACUUGAGGAGGAAGCCCCGGCUAACUACGUGCCAGCAGCCGCGGUAAUACGUAGGGGGCUAGCGUUAUCCGGAUUUACUGGGCGUAAAGGGUGCGUAGGCGGUCUUUCAAGUCAGGAGUGAAAGGCUACGGCUCAACCGUAGUAAGCUCUUGAAACUGGGAGACUUGAGUGCAGGAGAGGAGAGUGGAAUUCCUAGUGUAGCGGUGAAAUGCGUAGAUAUUAGGAGGAACACCAGUUGCGAAGGCGGCUCUCUGGACUGUAACUGACGCUGAGGCACGAAAGCGUGGGGAGCAAACAGGAUUAGAUACCCUGGUAGUCCACGCUGUAAACGAUGAGUACUAGGUGUCGGGGGUUACCCCCUUCGGUGCCGCAGCUAACGCAUUAAGUACUCCGCCNNNNNNNNNNNNNNNNNNACUCCUUGAUCCCCAGUUCGAAUCUGGGUGUCGCCUCCAAAAUAUUCCAAGGUAGCUCAACGGUGGAGCGCCCGGCUCAUAACCGGUAGGUCUGGGGUUCGAGUCCCUGAUGGCCCACCACAUUAAAUUAAUUAAUAUAAAUUCGAGGUGUAGCGCAGUUUGGUAGCGCACAUGGUUUGGGACCAUGGGGCCGGGGGUUCGAGUCCCUUCACCUCGACCAAUAUAAGGUGGGUAUAGCUCAGUUGGUUAGAGCGCCAGAUUGUGGCUCUGGAGGUCGUGAGUUCGACUCUCAUUAUCCACCCCAAUUCAUAUGGUCUAUUAGCUCAGUCGGUAGAGCACCUGACUUUUAAUCAGGGUGUCCCGCGUUCGAGUCGCGGAUAGAUCACCAAAAAGGCGGCGACAUAGCCAAGUGGUAAGGCAGUGGACUGCAACUCCUUGAUCCCCAGUUCGAAUCUGGGUGUCGCCUCCAAUAAAAUGCGCUCAUAGCUCAACUGGAUAGAGUGUCUGACUACGAAUCAGAAGGUUAGGGGUUCGAGUCCCUUUGGGCGCACCAUAUGAAUAGCGAGGGAUUAUAGCUCAGCUGGGAGAGCACCUGCCUUACAAGCAGGGGGUCACAGGUUCGAGCCCUGUUAAUCCCACCAGUGCAAACCUCUAGUAAAACUACUAGAGGUUUUAUUUUUGAUUGAAAAAGUUUUUAUAUUUAGGAGGUAAAAAAUUUGUAUAUAGUAAUAGGAAAUGAAAUAGUUGAUAGUGAAGAACUUAAAAUAAUUAUAGAUAAAAAUAGUGAAUUUAAAGUUGAAAAAGAUUUAAGUAAAAGCACAAAAAGAGAAGAUGUAAUAGCAUAUCAGUUAAGUAUAGAUUUAAAUUACCUAGAUUCUCUUAUAAAUGAGCAAUGUAAUUUAGCCAGUCUAUCUGAUGAAGAGAAAUUUGAUGAAUAUAUGACUUUGUCUGAUGAACUUGCACUGGAUUUAGAAGAGUUAAUGCCAAAAUAUACAAUAAUAAAUGCUAGAGCAUAUAAAUUAGACGAGGUAGAUGGAAUUGUAAAAAUAAUACUAGCUGUAGCGUAUGCAGAUUUAGGGCACUUAAAACUUUCUGAUGUAGUAAAGAGGCUAUCUAGACAAGUAGAUUAGGAUAUGAAUAUGAACUAUAUUAAAAAAAUGUAUAAAAUCUUACGUAAAGAUGAAAAUAAUUAUGUAAACAUAGAAAAAAACAGUAUAAAAUCAAGUCAAUUGUAGAAAUUUUCACAUAAAUUCAUCUGAAAUUCUGUAAAAAAUGCCUUAAUUUUAAUGAGGUAAAUCGAGUUUACACAGUCUAAAAAUUACUUAUAUUUAUAAAUUUAUCUUAUUAAUUAAGGAACUUUCUUAAACAUCUUCAAAAAUAAAGUAUUUUAGUCUAUAAUCUUUAAUAUUACACAAACAAUAAAGGAGAAGAAUAGAGUAUGCUUAAAAAGUUUAAUAAAAUACUAGUGGCUAAUAGAGGCGAAAUAGCUAUAAGAAUAUUUAGAGCCUGUUCAGAAUUGGGGAUAAAAAGUGUUGGUAUAUACAGUAAGGAAGAUAAGUAUGGAUUGUUUAGAACAAAAGCGGAUGAAUCAUAUUUGAUAGGAGAAGGUAAAGGGCCAAUAGAUGCAUAUUUAGAUAUGGAUGGAAUAAUAGACCUAGCAAAGAGAAAAAAAGUUGAUGCUAUACAUCCAGGAUAUGGUUUUCUAGCGGAGAAUGCAGAAUUUGCUCGUAAAUGUGAAGAGAAUGGAAUUACUUUUAUAGGACCAUCAUCUAAGGUAAUGAAUAUGAUGGGGGAUAAGAUUAACUCUAAAAAAAUCGCAAAAGAAGUUAAUGUUCAAACUAUACCAGGAGUAGAAAAAGCAAUAAGAAGUACUGAAGAAGCAAAGGAAGUUGCAAACAAAAUAGGAUAUCCUGUUAUGAUAAAAGCAUCUAAUGGCGGUGGCGGUAGAGGUAUGAGAAUUGUACAUCGCGAAGAAGACUUAGAGCUUGAAUAUGAAACUGCUUGUAGUGAAUCAAGAAAAGCUUUUGGAGAAGAUAUUAUAUUUAUAGAAAAAUAUAUAGCUGAUCCAAAACAUAUAGAAGUUCAAAUAUUAGGUGAUAAUUAUGGAAAUAUAGUUCACUUAUAUGAAAGAGAUUGUUCAGUUCAAAGAAGACAUCAAAAAAUAAUAGAAUAUGCACCAGCUUUUUCGUUAGAUGAUAAAGUAAGAAAAGAGAUAUGUGAAGAUGCAGUUAAGUUAUCAAAACAUGUGGGUUAUUCUAAUGCGGGAACAUUAGAAUUUUUAGUAGAUGCAAAUGGUGGGCAUUAUUUUAUAGAGAUGAACACAAGAGUACAGGUUGAACAUACUGUAACAGAGAUGGUUACAGGAAUAGAUAUAGUUCAAAGUCAAAUACUAAUAGCCCAAGGUUACAGCUUAG
rnacentral:rRNA from 1 species